rnacentral:hammerhead_ribozyme from 1 species
GUGCUGCUGAAGAGUCCCAAACUAGGACGAAACAGCUGUCCAGUAU